CCAGGAGCCCCAAGCAGAAGCUGCAGCGGGGCCCUGGGUGGGAGGUGUCUUUUCUGACACCUCCCCACCUCUGUCCCUGCUCUGUCUAUGGUUUGGGCCAUACUUGGGCUCAGGAAGGGAGGUGAGACUUGAGCCUGGGGACCAGGCAGGGAGCAGGGACUGCUUGGGAGGGGCCUGUGGAAUUGAUCCCUGAGCUGUGCUCAGCUGGACACACAGGGAGGCCCGAGGCCAGGAGGGGCAUGGGGCAGCAGCGCUGGGCCUGGAGAAAAACCAGUGGGGGCUUGGGUGGGGACUCCCCUUGCCUUCCUGGAGCUGGGCCUGCGCUGUGAACUUCCUGUGCCUGCAGGGCCCUGAUGUGUGUGUGCACUAGUGAGUGUGAGCACGUGGGAGCAUAUGUGUGCAUGUGUGUAUGCACCUGUGGGCACACAUGCAGAGUGGUGUGAUGCGAAUGGGGAAGGCUGUGCCCAGGACGGGGGUGGUGCCCCUUAUGUGUGAGUCAGUGGGGCCGUCCUGCUCUUUUGCACCUUGUACUCAUGAGGGGCGGUGCAGGGGCCCUGAAGUCCAGCCCUCCUUCCCUUACCAUCCCUCCCAUGACUCCCACGAUGGCACCAGCCUCUUCCCAGCCAGCCUGCUCUCCUUUCCCCCUUUCUAGUCCCUCCCACCUGCCCCUAGAGUCAGUUUUCUGAGAUAUGAAGGACCACGUCACCUGCCCAUGGGAACUUCCCAUGGUGCCCACUGCUCUUAGGACCCACGGGCUCGGACAGCCUCGCCUGCCUCUGCCAUCUUCAGGUUUCACCCCCAGCUCAGCUUCAACUACCAUGCAUUACGUGCUCACACUCAUGCUUACACACUCACACAAGUACACCGUGUGAAGGUACGUCGAGGUGCCAGGCCAACAGGGGAAACUGAGGUCCUGAGAGGGUCAGGGCAGCGGGGUGUUCUUUCCUCCCUGGGCCCUGCCACCUCCCUGGCAUGCCGCAGACCCCGAGGACAGACAGACAGGCGGCCAGAUGGAAGCGCGGGCUGCUUUGGGCGAGCAUAGAGUUUAUUCAAGGGUCAGGCGGGGGCAGCUCAGUAGCAGGUGCCGUCCGCCUCCGCCAUGACCACGGACACGUUGACGUGGGUGGGUUUACCCGACAGGCGGUCGAUAGACUUCUGGGUGAAGCUCAGGGGCAGAGCCUCGUGGCCCACCAUGCAGGAGAAGACGUCUCCCCUCUUCCAGGCCUCAGCCUCCACGCGCAGCAGGCUGGUCACGGCAAAGGUGGGCACGCUCUGGCCAGGUUCCCGCAGGGGCUUAAAGACCAGGUACUUCUCGCGGGGCAGCUUCUCGUGCCCUUGCAGCCAGAGCACCAACACCUCCUUAGGGCUGAAGCCCCGCACCAGGCACGUGAGCGUCACCAGCUCGUUGAGGGCCAGCUCCUCCGACGGCGGCGGCAGCACGUGGACCUGGGGCUGGAACAAGGGUUCUGGAGAGAGAAGAGCUGGGUCAGGAGUCUGGGUGGGGAGGAGAGAGCUCCUCUGCCCGCUUGGCACCAUGUGCCUCAGUUUCCCUUUGUAAAAUGUGGGUGGGAGCACACCCACACCAUCUAGGGACUUGGGGGAGGAGGCAGGCUUAGGAAUGUGCCUCGCAAACUGUAGGGUGCUGUGCAGCCCCUGGCUGGCAGCAUCUGAGCCCACCUGUGGGUUUGGUGAUGGAGACAGUUUGUGACUCUUUGAGCUCAGGGUGGCUGGCGGUGCAGGAGAAGGUCUCCUUUUUGCUCCACGGCUCGGCGCAGCCUGGCAGCACGCUGGACACGCUGUAGCAGCCGCUGGGUUCAAGCUUGGGUUCCUGCAGGACAGGGACGUUCCCACUCGAGGGGACUCCAGGUGAAGGCGGCGCCCUUGGGGUCUCUCAGGCCUCUCAGUGUGCAGGUGAGGCUGGCAUUGGAGCUCAGGAGCAGGUCCUCGAUGGCCGGCGGGCUCAGGGACAGGCGCGGCAGGCUGGACACAAGGGGCACUCACAGGGGCAUGGAGGGAGUGGAGGGCGUACUGGAGCUGACAGAGAGGCCGGAGAAGGUCAGCGCCGCCCUCCGCUCACCUACCCUCCCCUCCGUCUGGCUCCAGCCAGGCCCCCCUCCUGGCCCCUCAGCUACCACCCGCUGGGGGCUCAGCCUGGCAGCCCACUCUUGUCUGAGGGGAGACCCAGCGGGGGCACAGCUCCAAGUACUGGGUCAUGGGGAGAAUGUGGUAGCCCCCCGCCCCUCCCCAGCUGCCCUCUGACCUAUGCAGGGCACGUCCACAGACUUGCUGGGGCUGGUGUAAUGCUGUACUUCACACUUCACGGAUGCGUCAUCUGGGCACUGGUUGGCCGGACAGGGACAGCUGGCUGAUCACGGUGUACAGGCCCCCGGCCUCCAAGGGGGGGUAGUUCCUGACCUCCCCGCUCUUGCCCCAGGUCACCUUCACGGGCUCUGGGAAGCCCAGCGGGAAGAAGCCCUGUGAUCAGGCAGGCGAUGACCACAGGGUCACCUGAGUCAGCUUUCUGGAGGCUCAGCGGGAAGAUGCUGGGGCUGGUCACAGAGGCUGCAACACAAGACGUGCUGUGAGACGGCGGGCUCUCGUGCGGCCUGGACCCCUGAGACAGUCCCACAAGGCUGGGACGGUGCCCGCCUCUCCUUUACACCAGAGGAAACUGGCACAGAGAGGGUUAGUGACUGCCCCAAGGUCAGGCAGCUCGUACACCCUGGACCUGGGGUUGGACCCACCCUCCUGAGUCCAGCUGCACUGUUUUUGAACACACUCCUCAGAGUUCUAGCACGUGGACCCAGACACGCUCCUUGGACAGGGCCUCUGGCACAGGCCACUCCCAGCAGAAGUUGUAGUUAUCACACAUGGCUCUCCCACUGCUGCCGGAGCCCCAGCUCCUGUCUGGGUGGCGGCACAGCCAUACCCUCCCCUAGGGCUCAGGGGCGUGAGGGGUUGGGCCCCUGGCAGGGCACAGGUGAUGACAGAGUGCUCUGACUUGAAGCUGAGCCUGUGCUGGAGGUGACUCUGGGGAGGAGAGGGGGCCUGUGCCUUCUGUGCCUUCUCCCAUUUCCCCAGUCCAGGUCCCAGUCCAACCACCCACCACUCUCCUCCCACCCCAGGCCCUAACAAACUCCAAGUCGACCUCUGUGGCCUACAGGAGUUUCGAGGCCAAAGGCCCAAAUCUAAAUCAGUCCUUCUGGGAUGUCCGCCCGGGCAGGCUGGGCUACACAGGGCGUGGUCUGCCCACUUGUACUUUCCGUUCCCAUCAGGGCAACUGGUGAAGGGGGAGAGAGCAUCACGGAUGCACCCUGAGGCUGCCUGACCCAUGGGUCCCCAAGAAACAGGGUCAACAGGCUGGCUGGAGACCAGGACCCUGAGGUGGGGCUCCAUCCCGACCAACCCCUUCCCAUUCACCUCACCCAGCUCAGGCCAGAUCAGCCCACUUCAGCGCAACUUAACCCAGAUCACCUCAGUUCAGCUCACAGGCCAGCAUAGCCCAGCUCAGCUGAGUUCAGCCCAAUUCAGCCCAGUUAGCCCAGCUCAGCCCAGCAAGCCCAGCUCAGCCCAGCCCAGCCCAAUUCAGUUAGCUCAGCCCAGCUCAGCUCAGCCCAGUUAGCCCAGCUCAGCCUAGCUCAGCCCAGCCAGCCAAGCUCAGCUCAGCUCAGUUAGCUCAGCUCAGCCCAGUUCAGCUCAGCUCAACCUGAUUAGCCCAGUUCAGCCCAGCCCAGCCCAGCCCGAUUAGCCCAGUUCAGCCAGCCCAGCUCAGCCCAAUUCAGUCAGCUCAGCCCAGCUCAGCCCAGCCAGCCCAGCUCCGUUAGCCCAGCUCAGCCUAGCUCAGCCCAGCUCAGCCCAGCCCAGCCCAGCUCACCCAGCUCAGCCUAGCUCAGCCCAGCUCAGCCCAGCC
ensembl:lncRNA